rnacentral:rRNA from 1 species
AUGAGAUGGGUGGACUGGACCUACAUAAGAGAGAGUGAAGAUCACUUCCCAGGUGUUUAUGACAGCUUCAACGCAUGUGAGGUUGACAAGUUUGUUGUCCAAAAGCUCACCAAGUGGAAUGAUGAGCUGAUCAUGCAAUUCUAUUCUACUGCUCAUUUCUAUCCAGAUGGUAGAAUCGUAUGGAUGUCAGAGGGUACAAGGUACCAGUCUACAGUUGAUGAGUGGGCUAGAUUGAUCAAUGCUACAGAAGCUCAUGAAGAUGACUUGGAUGUCUAUGCCAAGAAGAAGAAGGAUCACAACUCAAUGGCCAGCAUGUACAAGGAGAUUCCUGAUGCAGACCUGGAGACUCACAAGUUUGGCUCUGUGAAGCACUUACUGUCAGGCCUGCCUACAAUCAAUACCAUUCCGAGGCACACUCUGUUGCCAAAGUCAGGUGAUCACAGAAUGAUUAGAGGACACUCUAUCAACUUGCUGCAUAUAUUUGAUGUUCCUCAAAAGUUCAAAGUGACGAGUCUGAUUGUGGAAACAAUCAAUAGGACAGCUGCAGAUCAGAAGAGAUCUUGUGGGUAUGCUCCACAAAUCAGGUGCUCAUCAACUCCAAGAUGGGCACAAGCACAUAUCCAUUGGACAAAGAGAAUUUACCCCUCAGGCUAG